rnacentral:rRNA from 1 species
ACACCAGACUCCUACGGGAGGCAGCAGUGGGGAAUAUUGGGCAAUGGAGGCAACUCUGACCCAGCAACGCCGCGUGAAUGAUGAAGGUCUUCGGAUUGUAAAGUUCUUUUCUAAGGGAAGAAGAAAGUGACGGUACCUUAGGAAUAAGCCUCGGCUAACUACGUGCCAGCAGCCGCGGUAAUACGUAGGAGGCAAGCGUUAUCCGGAUUUACUGGGUGUAAAGGGAGCGUAGACGGUGCGCCAAGUCUGGAGUGAAAUGCCGCAGCUUAACUGCGGAACUGCUUUGGAAACUGGCGAACUAGAGUGCGGGAGGGGUAAGCGGAAUUCCUAGUGUAGCGGUGAAAUGCGUAGAUAUUAGGAGGAACACCGGUGGCGAAGGCGGCUUACUGGACCGUAACUGACGUUGAGGCUCGAAAGCGUGGGGAGCAAACAGGAUUAGAUACCCUAGUAA